UAGAAGGGGUGCUGUAAACGUUACUGUUUUCCUGUCGGGGUAGUUGCUGCCUAUGCUAGUUUCAAGUGCUAGUUUUCACAUUAUAAAGUGUGGGUGACAGUCUGUGAUUUAUAUUUAUUGAAAGUGGAUUACGCUGCUAAAGACAAACGUCACAACACGUUCUAAAUCGCUCGAGUGACACUUUUUUUCCCCAUUCACCAUUCAAUGUGAACAAGACAAAGGAGCUGAUCGUGGACUACAGGAAAAGACGGGAACGAACAGGCCCCCAUUAACGACAGGGCUGUAGUGGAGCGGGUUGAGAGUUCCAAGUUCCUUGGUGUCCACAUCACCAAUGAACUACCAGAUCCUCAAAAAGUUAUACAGCUGCAUCAUUGAGAGCAUUCUGACCAGUUGCAUCACAGCCUGGUAUGGUAACUGCUCUGCUGACCACACCGCUCACGUCGCGUGCGUGCUUCGCGUUGCAAAAUACAUUUCCACACGUUAUUCAAUCAUUGCACCCACACUGCUCGCUCAUGCCAACGAGCAUCUGUGUUGCCAGGCGCUAACAUAGAAGCUGCUUCUAUUUGUGAUGCAGAUCGCGCUGCAAAUCCUGCCUCUCCCAUCUCCUCAUUAGUUUAUAGAAGCAGAUACCCACACGCCAUCUCCUCAUUGGUUAUACCCACAUGGGUGAUUGAAAGAGGAACUGAGGUCGAUCAUCGUCAUGGUAAUACUAUUAGAUGCCAAUCGCCAUGUAAGGUCCAAAGAAGAAAAAGCCUGAAAGGAGGAGAGAUGACUAGAAACAAUUCGGUUGACUGUUUUAUUUGAUCCACAUGGUUGCUGGCUGCGCUUUGCUACCACCAAAGAUAUUGUGAAGAUUGUCCAUUAUUUAGUUUUUGUAAGAACCCAAAAAACAGAGGCAGUUGGAGAACCUAUUCAAAUAUGGAAAGCUGUGAAAGCCUGUUUCCAAAUGAAGAGAGAGGUCCCAAUGAAUAUCCUAAGAGACUAAUGGUAUAUCCUAAAUGCCAUGGGUUAUGUGUGUAGGCCUACCUAUGUUAGAAAAUGUUGUAUACAAAAAUACAGUUAAUCACUCACAAUGUAUAAACCUAUUACAAUUGGAGCAGGCCAGCCUUGCUGGAGGUCUGCAGGGUUAUAUUUCAGCCCAGCAAUAACACACCUGAUUCAACUCAAAUCAAAUCUAAUGAGUUGAUAAUCAAGUGUGCUAUUGCUGGGCUGGUAUAGAAGGCUCCUCACCCAGUAGAUUAGGGAUCAGUGGAGCAAAGUAGAUCAGUAGAUUAGGGAUCAGUGGAGCAAAGUAGAUCAGUAGAUUAGGGAUCAGUGGAGCAAGGUAGAUCAGUAGAUUGCUGGUAUAGAAGGCUCCUCACCCAGUAGAUUAGGGAUCAGUGGAGCAAAGUAGAUCAGUAGAUUAGGGAUCAGUGGAGCAAAGUAGAUCAGUAGAUUAGGGAUCAGUGGAGCAAGGUAGAUCAGUAGAUUAGGGAUCAGUGGAGCAAGGUAGAUCAGUAGAUUAGGGAUCAGUGGAGCAAGGUAGAUCAGUAGAUUAGGGAUCAGUGGAGCAAGGUAGAUCAGUAGAUUAGGGAUCAGUGGAGCAAGGUAGAUCAGUAGAUUAGGGAUCAGUGGAGCAAGGUAGAUCAGUAGAUUAGGGAUCAGUGGAGCGAGGUAGAUCAGUAGAUUAGGGAUCAGUGGAGCAAGGUAGAUUAGUAGAUUAGGGAUCAGUGGAGCAAGGUAGAUCAGUAGAUUAGGGAUCAGUGGAGCAAGGUAGAUCAGUAGAUUAGGGAUCAGUGGAGCGAGGUAGAUCAGUAGAUUAGGGAUCAGUGGAGCAAGGUAGAUCAGUAGAUUAGGGAUCAGUGGAGCAAGGUAGAUCAGUAGAGUAGGGAUCAGUGGAGCAAGGUAGAUCAGUAGAUUAGGAAUCAGUGGAGCAAGGUAGAUCAGUAGAUUAGGGAUCAGUGAAGCAAGGUAGAUCAGUAAAUUAGGGAUCAGUGGAGCGAGGUAGAUCAGUAGAUUAGGGAUCAGUGGAGCGAGGUAGAUCAGUAGAUUAGGGAUCAGUGGAGCGAGGUAGAUCAGUAGAUUAGGGAUCAGUGGAGCGAGGUAGAUCAGUAGAUUAGGGAUCAGUGGAGCAAGGUUGGCCACUGCUGGUAUGGAGUUUUUCUUUUUUACCUGAAAUAAAGUUUUUGUAAUAAUAGCCUACUUGUUACUGCUCAAUUAUCUAUUGUUGGUUAGACUAAAAUGUCUAAUCUUUACAUACGAGUUAGCUUAUUUGUACAUGUUGAAGUGACGAAGUGUUGAUUCUUUGAAGUGAAGUGUUUAUACUAUUAUUCAAAAUGAACUAGUGUCAAUGUUGAUGAAUCACCUAUCACAAUCCUGCAAUAAAGAGGGGAAGGGUU